UUCCAAGAGUUGAAGAAAUGAAUGUCCUAGUAGCAGAGGUCCCCAUCCCCAUCCCAUCUUCGCCGCCUGGUCUGCCCUUCCCGGGGUCCUUCCUUUUGCUCUCCUCCCGACGUCCACUUCCCCUUACCUCCACUGCUCCGCCCGACCACCUCCCAUGAAAGUUUCUCUCUCUCUCUCUCUCUCUCUCUCUCUCUCUCUCUCUCUCUCUCUUCGCAGAAUUUAUUUGAGAUUGAGAUUUUGUGAGAUGAUGAUACGAUGUAUCGCCCUGCUCCACAUUCUUUUUUGCAGAAUCGUUUGGUUGUGAUUUGAAGCGCAGGUAAGUGAUUUGGCGUGGUUGGUCUUGUUUGAAACACUCUGGAGUGCAGUGCAGUGCAGCGGAUCGAAGGAGAAAGCGUACAACAGUUAAAUCCAUGUAAGAUGAACAGGAUCCUCACCUUUGAAUCCGAGUCUGUGGCUUUCUGCAGAACCCAGAUUUUUCAGAAAACAAACGGCAACUCCUCUUCAAGGGCCCUGACUUGGUCCAGGAUGUAGACAACCUGACCACCAGUAUCUGGCAAGCCAAGAACCUUUUCUUGACCAAAGUAACCGUGAAUAGAGAAGACGACGAUGUUGAAUAUGGAUGGAACUCUGCUGAAGAACUUCUCCAUGUUGAUAGGAUCCGGUGCUUGGAGCACUUCAGAGAGGCUUGUCGCUCAGUUUUGAGGACAAGAAUUUGGAAACAAACUGGAGCCCGUUUCCUAUGGAUGAAGGCAGCGUCAGAU